GGGGGGCUACUGUGUUCUUCUCCCCCUUAAUUCUUCUUCACUCCAAAAAUGAUAACUUUCUCAUACAGCAACGAAAUCAUGCACGGUCGAAUGCUAUGUAUUCAUACCAAAGCCUUCUUCAAUUUGAUGCCAAAACCAUAGGCUGAAACCAAGCGUGCUCAUAUAUUGAAGCCUAGAAGUUUCGACGGUUUUCGUGGGUUUUUCACGGAUUAUGGCCAACCUCGCUGGAUAUGGGUCUCGACCCAAGAGAGAAAAAUACUCAUCUCAUCAUGCAAUUCCAGGAUAUGUAAGUGGAUCUUUCGAAUUCCAAGUUUCAUUUUCAAACAAGUUUGAGAAUGAAGUGUUUAACUUGAAAUUUCGGGGUUCUUGUUAAGGAUUCAUGGCUAUGAACUUGAUUUAAGAGCAUAGUAGCGAAGUGGCAGAUUGAUGAACAACUUUGGAGGAGUUUGGAGGUGAGAACCCAAGAAACCCUAUCAUAUUUUCUUUUUGGUUCUAAUAGAUGAGUUAAUUUAUGUUAAGUUCUUGGUGUAAGUUGGAUGAAUUUGUGUGGAUUUUUAAACUUGUAACUAAAGUGGCAAAGAAUUGGUUUAAGUUGAUAAGUAGGCUUGCUAUGAGCCUCACCUUGGAUUUUGGGUGAUCUUUGGUUAAUUUUUUUCAUGUUGGACUUGAUAGAGGAAUUAUAGAAAGUGGUGGAACCUGGUUAUGUAUAUAUAAUUCUUUGUUGAGUAUUAAGUAAGUGUGUGACUAAGUAGGGUUUGUUCAAUUUCUCUUACGGUUGUUGAACUACGAUUGGCUUGAUCCCUCCAAAUGGUACGUAGGCAGUCUAACGAGAAGUUAGAUACAGCCAUAAAAUAAAUGAGAUUAAAUUUUAGUGGAAAAUUGUUACAAAAGAAAAGUUAGAAUGGUUAUUAACAUAAAGGGUAACUAUGACAUUUUUGGCCUAGCCCUAAAUGUAAAUUCCGAAAUAAAUUGGCGGGGCAUUAUAUGUAACAACUAGUUUUUUCAUGGUACCUGUAGAAAAAUUUCAAUCCCAUUAGUUCUUCAUUUGUACCAAAUCAUUAAAUCAUUGCAUAUUUGUUUACAUAACAUUCUCAAGUUCUUGAUUGUGAAUGGAACAUUUGGUAACUAUGGAGCAUGAGGGUCUCUACUAACCGAACUGGGUCUCUGCUUGUAGGUUGAGCAGGGGUAAGUUGUGAUUUCUACAGAGGAGGAGACGGAGGACUGCGUAAAACUAGGGUUUCUUCCUUUUUUUAAUUUUAGUUCAGAUUUUAUGUUUUUUUCAGUUUUAUUUAUCUUUAAUAUUAGUUAAAAUCCAAAUAAGCAUUCAUGUCAUUUAAUGAAUAAGUAAGAACCAUUGGAUGUCAUGUAAUCGAAAGGCUUAAAUAGAGUGUAAAAGUAUUUGUAAAAAUAUUUGUCCUUUGAUCCUAUCUCAUAUAUAUAAACAUGGGUACAUUCA
rnacentral:lncRNA from 1 species